GAUGAAGAACGUAGCGAAAUGCGAUAAGUAGUGUGAAUUGCAGAAUUCAGUGAAUCAUCGAAUCUUUGAACGCACAUUGCGCCCUCUGGUAUUCCGGAGGGCAUGCCUGUCCGAGCGUCAUUGCAACCCUCAAGCGCGGCUUGUGUGUUGGGCUUCGUCCCCCGAGGACGGGUCCGAAAGGCAGUGGCGGCGUCCGUUUCGGUGCCUGAGCGUAUGGGAACUCUUGUCCCGCUUGGUGGCCCGGCGGCGCUGGUCAAAACCAAUUUUUACCGGUUGACCUCGGAUCAGGUAGGGAUACCCGCUGAACUUAAGCAUAUCAAUAAGCGGAGGA
rnacentral:misc_RNA from 1 species